rnacentral:rRNA from 1 species
GACGAACGCUGGCGGCGUGCCUAAUACAUGCAAGUCGAGCGGAAGUUGGAGAGCUUGCUCUUCAACUUUAGCGGCGGACGGGUGAGUAACACGUGGGCAACCUGCCCUGCAGAUCGGGAUAACUCCGGGAAACCGGUGCUAAUACCGAAUAGUUUUCGCCACCGCCUGGUGGCGUACGGGAAGACGGUUUCGGCUGUCACUGCAGGAUGGGCCCGCGGCGCAUUAGCUAGUUGGUGGGGUAACGGCCCACUAAGGCGACGAUGCGUAGCCGACCUGAGAGGGUGAUCGGCCACACUGGGACUGAGACACGGCCCAGACUCCUACGGGAGGCAGCAGUAGGGAAUCUUCCGCAAUGGACGAAAGUCUGACGGAGCAACGCCGCGUGAGUGACGAAGGUUUUCGGAUCGUAAAACUCUGUUGUGAGGGAAGAACAAGUACCACUUAACUACUGGUACCUUGACGGUACCUCACCAGAAAGCCACGGCUAACUACGUGCCAGCAGCCGCCGUAAAAC